AAAUUGAAGAGUUUGAUCAUGGCUCAGAUUGAACGCUGGCGGCAGGCCUAACACAUGCAAGUCGAACGGUAGCACAGAGAGCUUGCUCUCGGGUGACGAGUGGCGGACGGGUGAGUAA
rnacentral:rRNA from 2 species